rnacentral:lncRNA from 1 species
CCUAGUUAUCCUGUUAUUGCACUGUGUCAUGGAGACCCUGCAACUCUGGAGUAGCAGGACUGGCCCUUUCAUGAAUACCAACUGUUUGUAGAUUAUAUAGAUUUUGGGGUGGCCCAACUCAGAGUCCUCCUGAAUCCAGGCCUAGGUUGCAGCUGAGCUGGUUAGCCUGACAGCUCUUCCUUAUCAGAAUCAACAGGGACGGGAAGAAUCCAAGAGACUGCCUCCAGCAGAUGUUGGAGCAGGAACAAAGCUCCUUUUUGAUCAUUUAGUUCUUUCAGAGUUGAGACAUUUAUAAAUCGGUAAUAUUCUUAAAUUGAAACAGGUGUGGUUACUGGACAUUGUGGGUUAUGGAUUU